AUUGAACGCUGGCGGCAUGCCUUACACAUGCAAGUCGAACGGCAGCACGGGUGCUUGCACCUGGUGGCGAGUGGCGAACGGGUGAGUAAUAUAUCGGAACGUGCCCUAGAGUGGGGGAUAACGUAGCGAAAGUUACGCUAAUACCGCAUACGAUCUACGGAUGAAAGUGGGGGAUCGCAAGACCUCAUGCUCCUGGAGCGGCCGAUAUCUGAUUAGCUAGUUGGUGGGGUAAAAGCCUACCAAGGCGACGAUCAGUAGCUGGUCUGGGAGGACGACCAGCCACACUGGGACUGAGACACGGCCCAGAAUCCUGCGGGAGGAAGCAUUGGGGAAUUUUGGACAAUGGGGGAAACCCUGAUCCAGCAAUGCCGCGUGUGGGAAGAAGGCCUUCGGGUUGUAAAGCACUUUUGUCAGGAACGAAACGGUGGGGGCUAAUACCUCCUGCUAAUGACGGUACCUGAAGAAUAAGCACCGGCUAACUACGUGCCAGCCGCCGCCGUAA
rnacentral:rRNA from 1 species